GAUGAAGAACGUAGCGAAAUGCGAUACUUGGUGUGAAUUGCAGAAUCCCGUGAACCAUCGAGUCUUUGAACGCAAGUUGCGCCCGAAGCCAUUAGGCCGAGGGCACGCCUGCCUGGGCGUCACACGUCGUUGCCCCCCCAUCUACUCCUUCGGGAUUGCGGGGGGCGGAUGAUGGCCUCUCGUGCGCCUCGUCGCGCGGUUGGCAUAAAUGCCAAGUCCUCGGCGACGCACGCCACGACAAUCGGUGGUUGCGAAACCUCGGUUGCCCGUCGUGUGCGGUCGUCGCGCAUCGAGGGCUCGAAAAAAUUGCCGGGCUCCGGCUCGGCUUUCAACGCGACCCCAGGUCAGGCGGGGUUACCCGCUGAAUUUAAGCAUAUCAAUAAGCGGAGGA
rnacentral:misc_RNA from 1 species